GACCCAGUCAUUAUCCCAUAGACAUACUUCACAUUAGGAAAAAGUUCAGGUAUUAAUCCAUACCAAUUACUCAAUCCUGAGCAUUUUUUAUGGAUUAGCUCAGCCAAUUCAAAGUUUGGCUUAAGCACUUGUGACAUUGCAUUUCUUAUGGAAGGGUCAGUGACCCGGCUACUGAGCAUCCCAUCACGUAUAUUAUCACAAAGCUCUUCCCAGACUUGUUCAAAGGU
rnacentral:misc_RNA from 1 species